ensembl:misc_RNA Metazoa_SRP Metazoan signal recognition particle RNA
GCUGGGCGUGGUAGCGCAUGCCUGUAAUCCCAGCUACUUGGGAGGCUGAGGCAGGAGAAUUGCUUGAAUCCGGGAGGCGGAGGUUGCAGUGAGUGGAGGUUGCAGUGAGCCGAGAUCAUACCACUGCACUUCAGCCUGGACAACAGAGUGAGACUCUGUCUCAA